UCAUGGAAGACGAGGUAGCCAAGAAAAUCUAUGGCACCAGCGUCGAGCGCUGCGAGAAGCUGGUGGCCAACACCCUCAAGCGAAAUCCCACUGUCCAUUUUCUGCGGGAGGCCCUGGACAAGGCGGGCUGCAGCACCGGGAGCAACUUCUUCAAGGUGGAGGAAUGCGAGCAAAAGGUCGCGGGCGGGUUCCAGUCCGAUAAGGGUGUGGUGAUUUGCAGCAACCGCGUCGGGUUUCAGCAGGAGGUAGACGCGAUCUUGGCGCACGAACUCAUCCAUGCCUACGAUCACUGCCGUGCCAGGAACUUGGACUGGACCAACUGCGAGCACCACGCUUGUAGCGAGAUUCGUGCUGCAAAUCUUAGCGGCGACUGCCGCUUCAAACAGGAGUUCAACCGAGGAAACUUUGGGAUCCAAAAGCAUCAGCAGGUGUGCGUUAGGAGGAGGGCCAAUCUGUCGGUGGCUAUGAACCCACACUGCAGCAAAGCGGAGGCGGCAUCAGCCGUGGAUAGAGUGUGGAACACUUGUUACAGGGACACGCGACCAUUCGAAAGAGCCCCGUGAGAAAAUCCAAAACAAAGAGAGGAAUAACUUGAGCCACCUGAGCAUCACACUGGAGCGUCUCCGACUAUAGUUUUGUCAGCCACCAUUGUUUCGUCCAUGGCACCAACUGGAUGGCUUCCGAGACCUUCGCUUCUGCCUCAGAGUAUGGCGUCCAGUAUUCCUGGAUCCUGGCCACACUUGUUGCCAAGGCCUUCAUGGAUCUUAAUCGUCUCAAGGCAACACGCUGCCUCGACCGCUGCCUCGCGAAACCUGCAUGGACAAGCUUUCAUCCACGAAUCGGUCUCUGCUUCAUUUUCUCGCUGGAGUGGAUUUAACGACUAGCUUCCUGCAUAUCUCAUUAGGAAUAUCUUGUCCUUGCUGCUCUUUAAAACGUAGACUUGUGCAAAGCACAUUGUGCGAA